CCAAGUGUUGUAGUUUUAUUAUAUAAUAUUUUAAAUAAUAUCGAUAUGCAUAUUUUCUGUUUAAAUUUGCUUAUAGGCAUUUAAAAUUUAUUUAACUAAAUUUGAACUGAAAUAUUACCAUUACUAGUCUAUUAAUAUUCUAAAAAGUGUAAAUGUUCUGUUCUAAGUUUACAAAAUGUUCCUCUUGGUAAAAAAAAAGCUAAACUACUGAUGAGUGUAUAUAAAGUUACAAAAAAUGGUACUUAUAGUUAUUUAAUGUAUAUCUACAUAAUGAUAAAUAAAUGCUGAUAAAAUACGAUUAUUAGUGAAGUUUGGUUAAGCAUUUGUUGCUACAAUUAUCGUGAUUCAAAUAUUA